UUUAUGGAGAGUUUGAUCCUGGCUCAGAGUGAACGCUGGCGGCGUGCCUAAUACAUGCAAGUCGAACGAUGAAGCUUCUAGCUUGCUAGAGUGCUGAUUAGUGGCGCACGGGUGAGUAACGCAUAGGUUAUGUGCCUCUUAGUUUGGGAUAGCCAUUGGAAACGAUGAUUAAUACCAGAUACUCCCUACGGGGGAAAGAUUUAUCGCUAAGAGAUCAGCCUAUGUCCUAUCAGCUUGUUGGUAAGGUAAUGGCUUACCAAGGCUAUGACGGGUAUCCGGCCUGAGAGGGUGAACGGACACACUGGAACUGAGACACGGUCCAGACUCCUACGGGAGGCAGCAGUAGGGAAUAUUGCUCAAUGGGGGAAACCCUGAAGCAGCAACGCCGCGUGGAGGAUGAAGGUUUUAGGAUUGUAAACUCCUUUUGUUAGAGAAGAUAAUGACGGUAUCUAACGAAUAAGCACCGGCUAACUCCGUGCCAGCAGCCGCGGUAAUACGGAGGGUGCAAGCGUUACUCGGAAUCACUGGGCGUAAAGAGCGCGUAGGCGGGAUAGUCAGUCAGGUGUGAAAUCCUAUGGCUUAACCAUAGAACUGCAUUUGAAACUACUAUUCUAGAGUGUGGGAGAGGUAGGUGGAAUUCUUGGUGUAGGGGUAAAAUCCGUAGAGAUCAAGAGGAAUACUCAUUGCGAAGGCGACCUGCUGGAACAUUACUGACGCUGAUUGUGCGAAAGCGUGGGGAGCAAACAGGAUUAGAUACCCUGGUAGUCCACGCCCUAAACGAUGGAUGCUAGUUGUUGGAGGGCUUAGUCUCUCCAGUAAUGCAGCUAACGCAUUAAGCAUCCCGCCUGGGGAGUACGGUCGCAAGAUUAAAACUCAAAGGAAUAGACGGGGACCCGCACAAGCGGUGGAGCAUGUGGUUUAAUUCGAAGAUACACGAAGAACCUUACCUAGGCUUGACAUUGAGAGAAUCCGCUAGAAAUAGUGGAGUGUCUAGCUUGCUAGACCUUGAAAACAGGUGCUGCACGGCUGUCGUCAGCUCGUGUCGUGAGAUGUUGGGUUAAGUCCCGCAACGAGCGCAACCCCCUUUCUUAGUUGCUAACAGGUCAUGCUGAGAACUCUAAGGAUACUGCCUCCGUAAGGAGGAGGAAGGUGGGGACGACGUCAAGUCAUCAUGGCCCUUACGCCUAGGGCUACACACGUGCUACAAUGGGGUGCACAAAGAGAAGCAAUACUGCGAAGUGGAGCCAAUCUUCAAAACGCCUCUCAGUUCGGAUUGUAGGCUGCAACUCGCCUGCAUGAAGCUGGAAUCGCUAGUAAUCGCAAAUCAGCCAUGUUGCGGUGAAUACGUUCCCGGGUCUUGUACUCACCGCCCGUCACACCAUGGGAGUUGUGUUUGCCUUAAGUCAGGAUGCUAAAUUGGCUACUGCCCACGGCACACACAACGACUGGGGUGAAGUCGUAACAAGGUAACCGUAGGUGAACCUGCGGUUGGAUCACCUCCUUUCUAGA
rnacentral:rRNA from 1 species